GGCGACGUCUUGACUUUGACUACAAAAAGAAGAAGCAAGCAAAAGAUUGGUGGGUUGAGUAAGAUCAAGACCCACACAAUCACCAAGGAGCUCUCCAAACCCUGGAUGCUGGAUGAGGAAGCAGCCUGGAGACCAAAAGUUUCCUUGGAAGAUCAGCAAGGAAGAAGUCACCACCGUCAAAGAGAAGGCUUGAUCCUACUCAUCGAUCACCUCAUCUCCAUGAAAUCCAACUGAGAGAAAUGCAAACUGCGCAUCUUUGCCACCACGGGCAUGAAGGAGCAAAUGGACAGGGAGAAGAUGAACAUGGCCAUCAU